rnacentral:RNase_MRP_RNA from 1 species
AAGCACUGGGCGAAAUUCCCCGGGCCAGCAGGCAGAGAGUGCCAGCCCGCGAGGGCCGCGCCCCACCGCCGGCGUGCGAGGCGCCUCGUGCGCCGAGGCCGAGAUGCGAGCUUACUCGCGGAGCCUUCCAAAGCCGUCGGCAGGGGCAGCUCGCCAUAGCACAGUUAUGUGGACGACAGUCGGGAAGCAACACGACCAACACAACGGGGAUUACUCUCAC